ensembl:lincRNA
AGGGUUUCCAGUUAUCAUUUGCCACAUGAUCAAUCCAAACCCAGUAUCUGAAAGCAAUGGUGGCAUUUUUUGUGUUCCUGAACCUGCAGUUCAGACAAAGCUCUUAAAGAAGGCUUGCCCCUCUUCCACUCAGGAAAAGCAGUGGUGGCUCAAAAGAUGGAGUGGUAGCCACCUGAAGGCUCAUUUGUGCCCAGCAUCGGAAGCUGGUCACGGACUGAAGCCUGAGCUGGGAUGUGUACAGGGUAUCCCUGGAACCUCCUCCUGCCACCUAAGUUUCUUUGACAAUGUGGCAGCUCAGAGAGAGGAGUGAGCAGAGGGAGAGAGAACUAGCUUUUUAUGGUCUUUUAUGACCACAGCAGAUGGAUACAAUAUUCAUGAUCCAGCUUUAAACAUUCCUUUUCUUUCUGUGAUUGGACCCUGGGGCAAGGAAUGAUCACAAGUAGAGGGGUCCAUGGGAGUAAACCCCAAACUUAGUUUGGGGCUGAAAAGGAUCAGCAGAAAACUCAACAAAUCCAUCUGAAACCCCCAGAGGUAACCAAAGGGUCAGACAAUCUCUCAGGGGAUGAAGAACAGCAGAUAUUCAAAGCCUGGAAGACACGUGCACCCGUGUUUGUGUGUGUGGAGCUGGAGAGGACAAUACUGAGGGAAGGAAGAGCUGGAAUGAUGAAGGGUCUUUCUUGGGUCCUGAAAGUACCAGGGAACCAGCAAGGGCCAAAGUAUGUUCUCAGCAGUGGCUUCUUGGUACUGCCCCUAAACUUAAUGGAUUUUCUGGUGACACCGACACCGCAUCCUUUCCCUCCAAGCUUACUGACCACCCCUAUUCCUGGAGUGCACUCAUCCUCAGAGGUGUGGAGACUCACCCAGAAGGGGCUUCCAGUCCUGUGAAGACCACAGCAGACAUCCAGGAGCAAGAGCAGAGUUCAGGGGCAGAGAUGUGUAUGAGAACACACGGAACCCCUUCCCUCUCCUCCAGCUCACCUCCCAGCUCCAGAUGCCCCUGGCAUCCAUGAGAGAGACAGAGCAAGGGUCCUAUGCUAUGGUGCUGGAAACACAGCACACGGGAAAGCAGAAGACAGUCAACCACAGUGCCCAGCUGUGGCUCACAGAUAAGGCUAACUCUCUGCUACCACUGUGCAACUUCCUGCUGGGUCCUCUCUACGGUCAUGGCCCUUGGAGGGCAAGCCACUGCCCAGAGACUGAGGAGCUGAAAGAGGUCCCAUAUCCAGUGCUGGGGUUCAGCCCAGUGUCUUCUCUGAAGCUGUCCAGUCUGCAGUUGGUCAGAGGAAAGGGAGUAGUUGGUUCAUCAGGAAACAGCAGGGCUCAGGCUGAGGUAGGUAGGGCAGGGCCCCAGGAAAGAAACAGGGGCAUCCAUCUGCCUCCAGCCCUGUUUCUAGUAGGUAAGAACAUGGACAGAGACCCAGACCUGCAUAGUACCCUGGUCUCCCCACCCCACCCUUCACAUACACACACACACACACACACACCUCCUGACUAUUCCCUCAGCAGCAAGGAUAGGCACAGAUUCCACUCUGCAAACAUUUGAGCUCCUGAACCCAACGAGUACAAGACCCAGAGGGCACAUGGUGAAAGAAAGCAAUCCAUGGCCCCAGAAGCAAGGGGAGGCUCUUAGAAGGAGUGUGUAAAUGGGAGACCAUACACCCUGAGGUUGCCCUCCAGUUUGCAGAACAGCUGAGGCAGCGCUUUACGAUGAGAAGAGACCCAAGAUCAGACACAGAAAAAAAAAAAAAAAAUGGCCAACUGGGACCUUGAAUGACAUCAGGCAGGACAAGGGUUCCAUGGUCUAGAAGGAGAAGCUCCCAGUUUUAAUCCACAUAUAAGCAGUGAUUAGUAGCAAAGUCGCUGAACUGAGAGUCUGGCAAACCACUUCGGAUCUUAGCUGUGGGGUAGUUAACGUCCAUACAGGCCUCAGCUCUCUCACCUGUAUCCCAGAGGAGAUGCCCAGCAAGCCUAAAGGCUUGUGCAUCUGUGCAGGAGGUGAACGUUCCACAAGUGGGUGGGCGCACAGUCCACUUCUGAUACUUGCAGUACCCCGGGUGGUUCUUAGACAGCCUAUCCCUGCCGAAAUCUUGCCUCCUGUUCUGCUUCUCAUGUGUUGAGACGGCAGAGGAGACACGCCUGCUGCGUGCUCCCUGGAGCUUCUUCGGGCCCCUUAAGCAGACCAUCGUGUGUCUGACUUUUCAGUGCCGAGAGCCUGCAGGCUAGAGUCAGGGCCCCUCUCCCCUGGCUUGCCCACUUCCCUCCUGACCACCCGCUUCUGCCCACUUCUCUGCUCAUUAUCACCUCCACCAGGAGGUGGAGAAGCAGAGCCGAGGAGGUUAAAUUCAAAUCAUUCAUUUUGUCACUUGCUGCCAGAAAGCAGGAGGGGAGGGAGACACACGGGGCCUCAGGUGCGGGCUGUGGGCAGAAAUGAGUCCUAGUAAUUCUCAGGAAGUCUCUCCUGGAUGUUUUCACGUUGGCCCAGUUCUGCCACAGAGAGCGCUGGGGGAGCCUUCUAGGAGCGGCCUCCUUAAGCAGCUGUUAAUGGUGUUGUCUGCAGCGGCAGAGACUUCACCUGACCUGGGGAAGCAUCUGCACUGGUGACAGAGAGAGGUGGGGCCUGAUCCUUUAGCGGGUGUGUCAGUAGGGUUAUUAGGAUGUGGUGAAGGUUGUCCCCUGAUCUUCAGCGUGGGGCAUCUUUCCAGAGCUAACACUCCAUCCACACUUGCUAGAACGUCAGAGGGCAGGCAGGUGAGGAAGACACUUUGGGAGCUAAACACUGGCAGAACGAAGCGUACCCUCAAGGGUGAGUGGACGCAGCAAAGGCAGCUUGAUUAGCUCUGCCACGGGAUUCGUGAGACGGUGGAGUAUGUCUGUUUCUCUGGAGAAUAUCAACGGAGGGGGACAUGCACCCUGAACGUGGGUGGCACUGUGGGCGGAGGGCACUGACCUGAGGAGAGGAGAGGGGAGGAGAGGGGAGGAGAGGGGAGGAGGCUAGCCCAGUACCAGAGUUCUCCCUCUCUCUGCUUUCUCUCCUUCUCCAUCGUGAUACGGACCGCUCCACAAGCCUCCCCCCUAAAGGUGACUGAGUCCUCCCAAACCAUAAGAAAAAUAAGUGUCCCCUGCUCUCAGGUGUCUGUGCCGGCUGUUUUUGGUCACUGCAUCACAGAAAGUAACACAGGACCCAGUCCAACUCAACACUGAGGAAACUGAGUCACGGGAAGAGGGAGUGUGGCUGUGCAUCUUGAUUGACACCUGAGCAUUGGCUCCAAUGAAAAGUAGAUGCCCAUCCACCAAGGAUCUAUCCACCGUCCUGUAGGUCUCCUUGGAAUAUUCGUCCAAUAUAGCUUAACCUUCAGAGAUGUGGGGCCAACGAACCAGCAUGAUGGUCCUAAAACCCCCCCGGGAUUUUUUUUUUUUUUUGAUGGUGCAGAUGUCCUGAGCCAACCACUUAGGCAGUAUCCCCCUCCAGUGUGAGUGUGGUUGAACACUCCAACCCAGGGGCUCCACCUAUAGCUGCAACCGAAAUAGAAUCUGCAGACAGAGCCGAGGCAUUUCGCAUGCAAAAUUUUUCUUUUAAAUAUGAAAUCUCUCCCAAGGCAUUACUUUAUUAUUAUAGUAAUUUCCUCAGAAGGGCAGACAUCCAAUGUGCUGUUUCUCCACCAUCUUCCGAGACAGGGAAAUUUAAUAGAAAUAUUCAGGUUCCUUAAGUGGCUAGGGCAGAAGAGGGAGAAACAGGGAUCUUCUCCAAGGAGCAGACUCCUGGAACCCCGGUGAAAGGGAUGCUCCAGGCCCGUGGUGACAGGUAAGGGCCUGAAUCAUCUCCUUAGAGAGGUUGGUCUUGGUGUGUCCAGGGAAGAGGCAGGAGGGAGAAACAGAGGGGAGCUACGUGGGAAGUGACCUUUUAUUCUCAGCGUGGAGUCAUUUCUCUUCUCCAAGACUAUGGAAACCUGGAAGCCCGCCUGGUCAGUGAGAGGACCCCAACAGCCACUAGCUGAGCUGGCGCCAAGCUCUUCCCACCCACAAAUGGAGGCCAAACAGGUUCCAUGUAAAGCCUAUGCUGGAGGCGGAAAGAGGAAGAGUGGGUAAGAACACACAGACUCUACAUCCUGACUGCCUGUGUUCAAACUCUGGCUCGACCACUUUCCAGACAGAUAUCAUUAUUAAAUAUUAAGUAUGACUGCUGUGUCUCAGGCUUCUCACCUGAAACAAAUGGGACAGGGCUUGAUAACAAAAAUGUUGUAAAGACUGAUGGAGGGCUGUGUGUGUGUGUUUAUGGGAGAGGUGGGUGUGUGCGUGCGUGUGUGAGAGAGGGUGAGGGAGAGCGAGCCUGGGAGAGCGCGCGAGAGCGUGUGCGUCCUGGUGUCACAUUGCGAGCUACAGCGGAGCCUACGGGAGGACAGAGCGGGCCAGACUGA